rnacentral:rRNA from 1 species
AUUGAACGCUGGCGGCAGGCCUAACACAUGCAAGUCGAGCGGAUGAAGGGAGCUUGCUCCUGGAUUCAGCGGCGGACGGGUGAGUAAUGCCUAGGAAUCUGCCUGGUAGUGGGGGAUAACGUCCGGAAACGGGCGCUAAUACCGCAUACGUCCUGAGGGAGAAAGUGGGGGAUCUUCGGACCUCACGCUAUCAGAUGAGCCUAGGUCGGAUUAGCUAGUUGGUGGGGUAAGGGCCUACCAAGGCGACGAUCCGUAACUGGUCUGAGAGGAUGAUCAGUCACACUGGAACUGAGACACGGUCCAGACUCCUACGGGAGGCAGCAGUGGGGAAUAUUGGAUAAUGGGCGAAAGCCUGAUCCAGCCAUGCCGCGUGUGUGAAGAAGGUCUUCGGAUUGUAAAGCACUUUAAGUUGGGAGGAAGGGCAGUAAGUUAAUACCUUGCUGUUUUGACGUUACCAACAGAAUAAGCACCGGCUAACUUCGUG